rnacentral:lncRNA from 1 species
GGAAUCAAAAUCAUAGUAUAUUUCUUAACUGUUUAGUGAAUAAUAUUCAGAUAUCACAAUAAUGCAAUGCUGUUAAUUUAUCCCAAAAUAUUAUCUAAAAGUAUAAAUGUCAAUACCAACAGGUACAGCUCAAAAUAUUGAAGGAGAUUAUGUCUGGGGACUAGAACUACAGGUAUAAGAGGGUGAGGAAAGAAAUGCUGCCUUUAACUAUGAAUUUUGGAAUUAUGGGAAAAUCCCUUGAUGACACUCCCUACAAUAACAUGAAUUUCAAGACUCUUUUAUACCAAGAGGAAGAAAAGGAAAUGAACCACAGAUAGCAAAGUGGUCUACCCUCAGCCACACAGUAAUUAUGGGGAAGAUCUAGGGUUUCCUGUUCUUGGCCUGGCCUGCUGAGGCAUUUUGUCUUGGUAAGUUACUUAACCCUAUCUGGGUUUUGUUUUGUUUUUUUCAUCUUUAGCCUUUAAAAAAAAAAAAAAAAAAAAAGACCAUCUAUUUC